UGAAGAAUUUGUCCAACGGUGGGGGAUAGCCGGCCCAACGGCCGGGUAAUACCGCGUACGCCCUUUGAGCGGCAUCGCUCGAUGGGGAAAGUCGCAAGACGCCGAUGGAGAACUUCGCGGCCUAUCAGCUAGUUGGUGAGGUAACGGCUCACCAAGGCGUCGACGGGUAGCUGGU
rnacentral:rRNA from 1 species